GCGCCCAUAGCUCAGCUGGAUAGAGCAUCUGACUACGAAUCAGAAGGCCAACCGUUCGAAUCGGUUUGGGCGCG
rnacentral:tRNA from 1 species